AGGAGCCGUAUGAGGCGGAAGCUCCACGUACGGUUUUGAUGAACGAAAAAAGUAUGGUAUUGGAUUUAGUUAAAAUUCCAAAGGUAUGCAUAUGGAAAUAAAAGAGGAGAUGCAUCAUUU
rnacentral:ribozyme from 1 species